GAGAUAUCACAUAUAUAGAUCAGUGGGAAGCAGAUCUCAAUGAGGUUCUGGAGGGCAAAGAAUGGCAGGAAAUAUGGGAGGCUGCUGCAUCAUCUUCAGUGUGCAUCUCCUUGCAGGAACAAUCCUAUAAGACCUUAUUUCGGUGGUACACCACUCCAGUGACGCUGUACCGAAUGCGUAAAAACCCGACGGACCUGUGUUGGAGAG